rnacentral:rRNA from 1 species
CGGAUGCGGAUCUCGAAAGCCUGUCCCAGUUCGGACUGGAGUCUGCAACCCGACUCCACGAAGUUGGAUUCGCUAGUAAUCGCGCAUCAGCCAUGGCGCGGUGAAUACGUUCCCGGGCCUUGUACACACCGCCCGUCAAGCCAUGGGAGCCGGGGGCGCCUGAAGUCCGGGACCGCGAGGACCGGCCUAGGGCGAAACUGGUAACUGGGGCUAAGUCGUAACAAGGUAGC